UACGUAGGGGGCGAGCGUUAGGCGGAAUCACUGGGCUUAAAGCGUGUGUAGGCGGACCGUUAAGUACCUUGUGAAAUCCCCCGGCUCAACCGGGGAACGGCUGGGUAUACUGGCGGUCUUGAGCCAUCCAGGGGCAGUCGGAACAGACGGUGGAGCGGUGAAAUGCGUAGAUAUCGUCUGGAACGCCGAAGGUGAAAACAGGUUGCUGGGAGUGUGCUGACGCUGAGACACGAAAGCCAGGGGAGCAAACGGG
rnacentral:rRNA from 1 species